GAUGAACGCUGGCGGCGUGCCUAAUACAUGCAAGUCGAGCGAACAGACGAGGAGCUUGCUCCUCUGACGUUAGCGGCGGACGGGUGAGUAACACGUGGAUAACCUACCUAUAAGACUGGGAUAACUUCGGGAAACCGGAGCUAAUACCGGAUAAUAUAUUGAACCGCAUGGUUCAAUAGUGAAAGACGGUUUUGCUGUCACUUAUAGAUGGAUCCGCGCCGCAUUAGCUAGUUGGUAAGGUAACGGCUUACCAAGGCAACGAUGCGUAGCCGACCUGAGAGGGUGAUCGGACACACUGGAACUGAGACACGGUCCAGACUCCUACGGGAGGCAGCAGUAGGGAAUCUUCCGCAAUGGGCGAGAGCCUGACGGAGCAACGCCGCGUGAGUGAUGAAGGUCUUCGGAUCGUAAAACUCUGUUAUUAGGGAAGAACAAAUGUGUAAGUAACUAUGCACGUCUUGACGGUACCUAAUCAGAAAGCCACGGCUAACUACGUG
rnacentral:rRNA from 1 species